CCCAUUCCAACUGUCUGGCAGACCCACACUUAGAAACCAAAAUCCCUUUUCUCCCAAAAAUCUUAUCUCAACAAUGGCGGCAACAUCAACUCACCCACGCAAUCUUCGAUUUCCAACAAAGGGUUUUUAGAAAAUCUUGAUUUCAGAAAGUAUGAGUUACCAAAAUCCAGGGGUUUUGGACUUCAACAGAAAUUUUAUUGCUUCUGGUAUUAAAGAUAAUAACAAUGCGGUCUCGACCACUGAAUCUUCACCUUCGUGGGGCAGGUCUAGGACGUCAUACAGUUUCUGUAUCUGUUGGUGAUGAAAGUGGAAUGAGAAACUGAAUUGCGGGAGUAUUUUCUAGAAGCUAGGGGUUACAGUUUAAACAUAUACUUUAGUUCUUUUGACCAAAGCCUUUUGUCAAGUCUCAAUUCUUCUUCUUCAAUUUAGAGAGAGAAAUGACAUCACAUCAGGGUCCCGAUGAUUCUGCACCGCUCGUAUUGGUACUCUUGUUGGGUUUGUUGUGUUCAGAACUGAUGAAUUUGUGCUGGUUAUGAAAUAUUGGUAAGACCGUUUUCUUUGCAACUAGUAGUAUAAGAAACCAAAUUUAGUAAUGCAUGUGGAAAGAUUACCUGGUUGAUCCAUACCGAAUGCUCCUAAACCUGCCACCAGUAUACUAUGUCUAUGUUUCUUUAAUUUUCCAUAUGAUGAGAUGUGCUGUUAUACGAAAUUCGCAAACAUGUGAAAUCUGAAUGAGGCAUAUGAUUUAGAAAUUCAAUUAAGAUGUUUUAUGAUCUUUAGGUCCAUUUAAAAAGAAUCUGAAUAUUCAAUUAAGAUGUUCGACGAAAUGUCGCUGUAUAGCUGGUUUAGUUUUAAAUUGGGGUUAGGAUAUAAUGUCAUUAACUAUUUCUUAAACUCAUUUUGGUAAACAAAUCAAGUGCGUUAAUUACCUAUUCCAUGACCCUGAGCCUAUUUGAAGACUAAACGAUUCCUUUUACAAAAUCAUUACUGUAAUUCAAUGCAAAUUUUAUAGAAGUAAAGCUCAAAUUUUGCGCAUUAAAGAGGUCACGUGCACAAUCUUCUAUAUCUGUUGUAGGUUCAGUAUAUUUAGGGCCCCGAAUCCCCAAGAGCAAGGAGAUUAUGCAAGUAGCUAACCAUGUUCUCCCAAAUUUCGCAUAUCAGAUCACCAAAGCCCACAUGUUUCUUCAUUGCUUUCGUAGUAUUUGAUUUAUGCUCGGAAUGAUUAUAAUAUAAAUUGUCACAAUGUUGAUUUCUUUCUCCCAAAAUCUACAAUGUUGAUUUAUGCUUUAUUCAAUUGCAAUUUGCCGAUGUUUUCAACUAAAUUCUCUAAGAACCUUAGAAAUUCGGAAAGAUGACCAUGACUAGUUAAUUCUUGUUCUUCAGAAAUGUUGAGCUGCUCAAGGCUGUUUUAGAACAGUGCACCUCAUCUCACGAAACUCAAAUACAGUUUUAUUGAUUGCAUUAUGAUGGGCUAAUGUUGAUAGUCGUAAUACACAAGAAUAAAGUCAAUAAAUAUAAUAUAAGCUUAUAGAUCUUGAGAUAUCUCACUCUGACACCUAAGCAGUACAGACCACAUUUGAAAAUCAGUAAGUCCAAUAUCUUUAGCACGGUUUUCAAUUGUUUUUGUGAGCCUUCUUUACCAGCAGGGUUCUGCGCUAACAUAAUGUUGUCUAAAUAGAUUACACCACGACCUGCAAUAUUACUGUCUGGCACUUCAGGUAUAAUGAAUUCAACAAUAAUCACUUUCCCAUCUUUAAGGUAAUGCAGCUUAACAAUUAUUCAAGAUUUUAAUACUGUGUUCGUCACUCCAAUCAUGAAGAAUCCAUUUCAUGAAAGUUGCUUCUGCAUUUGGACCACUGGCAAACAUGUCACCACUGAUUUGCUUGAUACCUGGGAAUGAUGGGGCGUCUACGAUUACGUGUAGUAAGUUGAAGUUAAUAUCUGUAAACGUACAUAUGAAAUGCGUGUGUCAGUUACUGAAUAAUAUGUAUCCAUUAGGCUCAUAAACCAAAAUUAGGUAGAAAAACAGAAUUCAUUCUGUUGUUAUAUUGCAUCACCUAAUGUAAGAUAAAUGAUCAGACAAACCUUUGACUGUGGGGUAUGGUAUUUUAGAUGAUCAUACUAAGGCUUGCAACUAGACUUCCAGCUACGAUUUCUCUAAACCAUUGUAGGUUUCAAGGGUUUUGUUCAUGGUGAUAGUUGUUUGAUCAGACUCUCCCUUGUUGAAUACCUUGUUGAACUUGAGGUCUGUUCCAUGGUAUUCAAAUGCUGCAUACCAGAAAGCUUUGUUUAGUGAAAUUCCUCCAUUUAAGGAUUGCAUCUUUCAAUUGGUACCUGAAAAUGAAUUUCUGAGACUGUCAGGCCUGCACGCUGUAUGUAGGAUGGUUCCAUUGGUUAGUCCUUGAAUUUAUAUGACCGUGUUUAUAUAACUACAAAGAUCGGACUUAAAAAUUAAUUUGCAGCAAACAGUGCAGUCUAAUUAGUAAUGUCACUGCAGAUUCGAUUGGUUAAAUUUUCGAUCUUUAUGUAUCUAGUGCCUCUGUAAAUUAUAGUAUUUACCAUUCUACAAAAAAUAUUGUGAUAUCCAUUUGUAGAAUGUCUUAGAGAUUGGUAUUUCAUCUUGAUUUCCCUUAUUAACUACCUGUUACUGGUUUCUGUGUUUUCUGUUAUGACUUGUUCCGCCAAUCAAAAUUUUGUCCUCUCUGGAACUGCCUUCAAAAUAACAGUCUCUUCUUAGGAAUUUGUAGAAUGAUAAAUAUUUAUGUUGACGAGGGAUUCAGUUCCGCUCUUUCUUAUCUUGGUUUAUAAUCAGAGGGUUAAGCUAUCUCGAUGGAAUCAAUUUUCUGUUUAUUCAGGACUAAAUUCAACGUUGAUGUGGUCUGAACUUGUCCAGGGACUCGCGAGUAAAAUUCACUCAUGAAUGUAAAUACUGCUUGAUAAAUUGUUGAUACAGAUGAGAUGCAGCAAGAUUGUGUGCAAAUGGAUUAUGGAGACUUGCUUCAAAAGGUGAGCUGCAUCCUAUCUGACUUCUUUGGCAUCGGCAUAUCAAUACUGAUGGGAUAACUGGAGAUUUCAGAUAAAUAUAUAAAUCCAUGAACUCAACACCAGAUGUCUUCAGAAAUUCAUUAAAGAUGUUAAAGAUUGAACUUUCCGGUCUAUUAGUUCCCAUUCUCAAGACAAACAUCACAGGAAAAUUUGGUUCUUGAUCUUCAAGAUAUUCUUCGUUGCUUUUGACAACAUUUGUAACAUCUCGUUCGGGUUUGAUCCUGAUUCCUGCCUGCGUUUCAGCUUCACUUGAUUGGGACGAUUUUGCUAUUGCCUUUGAAGAUGCUACACAAAUUAGCCCUGAGACUUGAUUUGGUUAAUAAACCAGCCUAUUAUUUAGGAACGGAGUGAUAUUGAUAUACUAUCUUAGCCUGGCCAAAUUAGAAAAGCAAAGUAACUGUUUUUUCCAGAAACAGGGGGAGUAUAAAUCAUCAUCAUCAUCUUUCCCUACAAGUCUCAUCAUCAUCUUCCCUGUAAGUCUUCAACAGAUUCGAUAUAACUCAUCACUGUACUCAGUGUAGUAUCCGAGCUAUAUCCAUAAUCAUAUACUUUUAAGCGGCAAGAGCCCAAGAAUUCAAAUGUAAAAUCUUUACCGCCGGCCACAGUGCAAGGACGGACCCAGGUUAAAAUGAAUCCAACAUCUUCAUC